GGGGCAGGACAGGGGAGGGGAGGGGAAGGGGGGACAGCUCCAGGCGCAGGUGUGCAAGGGGCAGGACAGGGGAGGGGAAGGGGGGACAGCUCCAGGCGCAGGUGUGCAAGGGGCAGGACAGGGGAGGGGAGGGGAAGGGGGGACAGCUCCAGACGCAGGUGUGCAAGGGGCAGGACAGGGGAGGGGAAGGGGGGACAGCUCCAGGCGCAGGUGUGCAAGGGACAGGACAGGGGAGGGGAAGGGGGGCCAGCUCCAGAUGCAGGUGUGCAAGGGGCAGGACAGGGGAGGGAAGGGGAAGGGGGGACAGCUCCCGGGCACUCCGGGCCUUCAGCCCCCUGGCAGGUACCCGGAGGCCCCGCCUCCCCCCGGCCCAAUGUCAUUGGGAAUAGGAGUGUGUGUGUGGGGGGAGAGCAGAGGACAAUGGCCUUUUAGUCUUCAGUAUCUCAAGGUAGAGUAGAGGGACAGGGAAAGUGAAGGGGACAUGAUGGUCCCGAUUUCAGAGAGGAGAGGUUCUGUAAUGAGGAAGGGGCAUGGGGGGUGGGGUAAGGGAUGGGACAGGAGCAUUAUGGGAAAACAAUAGUUAAAGGGAAGAGGGGGCAGAGAAGAGAAGGAAGGAGAAGGGAGGGGGCA